CAGGCCUAACACAUGCAAGUCGAGCGAUCGCAGCAAUGCCGGAGCGGCAUACGGGUGAGUAACACGUGGGAACGUACCCUUCGGUUCGGAAUAACUCAGGGAAACUUGAGCUAAUACCGGAUACGUCCGAGAGGAGAAAGAUUUAUCGCCGAAGGAUCGGCCCGCGUCUGAUUAGCUAGUUGGUGAGGUAAUGGCUCACCAAGGCGACGAUCAGUAGCUGGUCUGAGAGGAUGAUCAGCCACACUGGGACUGAGACACGGCCCAGACUCCUACGGGAGGCAGCAGUGGGGAAUAUUGGACAAUGGGGGCAACCCUGAUCCAGCCAUGCUGCGUGAGUGAUGAAGGCCCUANGGUUGUAAAGCUCUUUCACCGGUGAAGAUAAUGACGGUAACCGGAGAAGAAGCCCCGGCUAAUCGCCCC
rnacentral:rRNA from 1 species